GGGUGAGUAACACGUAGGGAACCUGCCCGCGCACCGGGAAUACGCUCUGGAAACGGAGAACAAAUCCCGAUGUACAGGAAGGAGGCAUCUUCUUUCUGUGAAACAUCCUUUAGGGGAUGGGGCGCGGAUGGACCUGCGGUGCAUUAGUUGGUUGGCGGGGUAAAGGCCCACCAAGACGAUGAUGCAUAGCCGGCCUGAGAGGGCGGACGGCCACAUUGGGACUGAGACACGGCCCAGACUCCUGCGGGAGGCAGCAGUAGGGAAUUUUCGUCAAUGGGCGCAAGCCUGAACGAGCGAUGCCGCGUGAGUGAAGAAGGCCUUCGGGUCGUAAAGCUCUGUUGCGGGGGAAAAAAGGCAGCAUCAGGAAAUGGGUGCUGACUGAUGGUGCCCCGCCAGAAAGUCACGGCUAACUACGUGCCAGCAGCCGCGGUAAUACGUAGGUGGCGAGCGUUAUCCGGAAUGAUUGGGCGUAAAGGGUGCGCAGGCGGUCCUGCAAGUCUGGAGUGAAACGCAUGAGCUCAACUCAUGCAUGGCUUUGGAAACUGGAGGACUGGAGAGCAGGAGAGGGCGGUGGAACUCCAUGUGUAGCGGUAAAAUGCGUAGACAUAUGGAAGAACACCAGUGGCGAAGGCGGCCGCCUGGCCUGUUGCUGACGCUGAGGCACGAAAGCGUGGGGAGCAAAUAGGAUUAGAUACCCUAGUAGUCCACGCCGUAAACGAUG
rnacentral:rRNA from 1 species